GGUCAAGUGAAGAAGCGCAUACGGUGGAUGCCUUGGCAGUCAGAGGCGAUGAAAGACGUGGUAGCCUGCGAAAAGCUUCGGGGAGUCGGCAAACAGACUGUGAUCCGGAGAUGUCUGAAUGGGGGAACCCAGCCAUCACAAGAUGGUUAUCUUACACUGAAUACAUAGGUGUAAGAGGCGAACCAGGGGAACUGAAACAUCUAAGUACCCUGAGGAAAAGAAAUCAACCGAGAUUCCCUUAGUAGUGGCGAGCGAACGGGGACCAGCCCUUAAGUUGUAUUGAGAUUAGCGGAACGCUCUGGAAAGUGCGGCCAUAGUGGGUGAUAGCCCUGUACGCGAAAAUCCCUUUGCAAUGAAAUCGAGUAGGACGGGGCACGAGAAACCUUGUCUGAAUAUGGGGGGACCAUCCUCCAAGGCUAAAUACUACUGACUGACCGAUAGUGAACCAGUACCGUGAGGGAAAGGCGAAAAGAACCGCGGAGAGCGGAGUGAAAUAGAUCCUGAAACCGUAUGCGUACAAGCAGUGGGAGCCCACUUUGUUGGGUGACUGCGUACCUUUUGUAUAAUGGGUCAGCGACUUAUUUUCAGUGGCGAGCUUAACCGAAUAGGGGAGGCGUAGCGAAAGCGAGUCUUAAUAGGGCGUCUAGUCGCUGGGAAUAGACCCGAAACCGGGCGAUCUAUCCAUGGGCAGGUUGAAGGUUGGGUAACACUAACUGGAGGACCGAACCGACUACCGUUGAAAAGUUAGCGGAUGACCUGUGGAUCGGAGUGAAAGGCUAAUCAAGCUCGGAGAUAGCUGGUUCUCCUCGAAAGCUAUUUAGGUAGCGCCUCAUGUAUCACUGUAGGGGGUAGAGCACUGUUUCGGCUAGGGGGUCAUCCCGACUUACCAAACCGAUGCAAACUCCGAAUACCUACAAGUGCCGAGCAUGGGAGACACACGGCGGGUGCUAACGUCCGUCGUGAAAAGGGAAACAACCCAGACCGUCAGCUAAGGUCCCAAAGUCAUGGUUAAGUGGGAAACGAUGUGGGAAGGCUUAGACAGCUAGGAGGUUGGCUUAGAAGCAGCCACCCUUUAAAGAAAGCGUAAUAGCUCACUAGUCGAGUCGGCCUGCGCGGAAGAUGUAACGGGGCUCAAACCAUGCACCGAAGCUACGGGUAUCACCUUUGGUGAUGCGGUAGAGGAGCGUUCUGUAAGCCUGUGAAGGUGAGUUGAGAAGCUUGCUGGAGGUAUCAGAAGUGCGAAUGCUGACAUGAGUAACGACAAUGGGUGUGAAAAACACCCACGCCGAAAGACCAAGGUUUCCUGCGCAACGUUAAUCGACGCAGGGUUAGUCGGUCCCUAAGGCGAGGCUGAAAAGCGUAGUCGAUGGAAAACAGGUUAAUAUUCCUGUACUUCUGGUUAUUGCGAUGGAGGGACGGAGAAGGCUAGGCCAGCCUGGCGUUGGUAGUCCAGGUUUAAGGUGGUAGGCUGAGAUCUUAGGUAAAUCCGGGAUCUUAAGGCCGAGAGCUGAUGACGAGUGUUCUUUUAGAACAUGAAGUGGUUGAUGCCAUGCUUCCAAGAAAAGCUUCUAAGCUUCAGGUAACCAGGAACCGUACCCCAAACCGACACAGGUGGUUGGGUAGAGAAUACCAAGGCGCUUGAGAGAACUCGGGUGAAGGAACUAGGCAAAAUGGCACCGUAACUUCGGGAGAAGGUGCGCCGGUGAGGGUGAAGCAUUUACUGCGUAAGCCCACGCCGGUCGAAGAUACCAGGCCGCUGCGACUGUUUAUUAAAAACACAGCACUCUGCAAACACGAAAGUGGACGUAUAGGGUGUGACGCCUGCCCGGUGCCGGAAGGUUAAUUGAUGGGGUUAGCGCAAGCGAAGCUCUUGAUCGAAGCCCCGGUAAACGGCGGCCGUAACUAUAACGGUCCUAAGGUAGCGAAAUUCCUUGUCGGGUAAGUUCCGACCUGCACGAAUGGCGUAACGAUGGCGGCGCUGUCUCCACCCGAGACUCAGUGAAAUUGAAAUCGCUGUGAAGAUGCAGUGUAUCCGCGGCUAGACGGAAAGACCCCGUGAACCUUUACUAUAGCUUUGCACUGGACUUUGAAUUUGCUUGUGUAGGAUAGGUGGGAGGCUUUGAAGCGUGGACGCCAGUCUGCGUGGAGCCAACCUUGAAAUACCACCCUGGCAACUUUGAGGUUCUAACUCAGGUCCGUUAUCCGGAUCGAGGACAGUGUAUGGUGGGUAGUUUGACUGGGGCGGUCUCCUCCUAAAGAGUAACGGAGGAGUACGAAGGUGCGCUCAGACCGGUCGGAAAUCGGUCGUAGAGUAUAAAGGCAAAAGCGCGCUUGACUGCGAGACAGACACGUCGAGCAGGUACGAAAGUAGGUCUUAGUGAUCCGGUGGUUCUGUAUGGAAGGGCCAUCGCUCAACGGAUAAAAGGUACUCCGGGGAUAACAGGCUGAUACCGCCCAAGAGUUCAUAUCGACGGCGGUGUUUGGCACCUCGAUGUCGGCUCAUCACAUCCUGGGGCUGAAGCCGGUCCCAAGGGUAUGGCUGUUCGCCAUUUAAAGUGGUACGCGAGCUGGGUUUAGAACGUCGUGAGACAGUUCGGUCCCUAUCUGCCGUGGACGUUUGAGAUUUGAGAGGGGCUGCUCCUAGUACGAGAGGACCGGAGUGGACGAACCUCUGGUGUUCCGGUUGUCACGCCAGUGGCAUUGCCGGGUAGCUAUGUUCGGAAAAGAUAACCGCUGAAAGCAUCUAAGCGGGAAACUUGCCUCAAGAUGAGAUCUCACUGGAACCUAGAGUUCCCUGAAGGGCCGUCGAAGACUACGACGUUGAUAGGUUGGGUGUGUAAGCGCUGUGAGGCGUUGAGCUAACCAAUACUAAUUGCCCGUGAGGCUUGACCAUAUAACACCCA
rnacentral:rRNA from 5 species